rnacentral:rRNA from 1 species
UACCGGCGGCUCGAGUGGUGGCCACUAUUACUGGGCUUAAAGCGUUCGUAGCUGGUUUGUUAAGUCUCUGGGGAAAUCUUCCGGCUUAACCGGAAGGCGUCUCAGGGAUACUGGCAGACUAGGGACCGGAAGAGGUGAGGGGUACUCCAGGGGUAGGAGUGAAAUCCUGUAAUCCUUGGGGGACCACCUGUGGCGAAGGCGCCUCACCAGGACGGCUCCGACAGUGAGGGACGAAAGCUGGGGGAGCAAACCG